GACGAACGCUGGCGGCGUGCUUAACACAUGCAAGUCGAACGGAAAGGCCCUGCUUUUGUGGGGUGCUCGAGUGGCGAACGGGUGAGUAACACGUGAGUAACCUGCCCUUGACUUUGGGAUAACUUCAGGAAACUGGGGCUCAUACCGGAUAGGAGCUCCUGCUGCAUGGUGGGGGUUGGAAAGUUUCGGCGGUUGGGGAUGGACUCGCGGCUUAUCAGCUUGUUGGUGGGGUAGUGGCUUACCAAGGGUUUGACGGGUAGCCGGCCUGAGAGGGUGACCGGCCACAUUGGGACUGAGAGACGGCCCAGACUCCUACGGGAGGCAGCAGGGGGGAACAUUGCACAAUGGGCGGAAGCCUGAUGCAGCAACGCCGCGUGCGGGAUGACGGCCUUCGGGGUGUAAACCGCUUUCGCCUGUGACGAAGCGUGAGUGACGGUAAUGGGUAAAGAAGCACCGGCUAACUACGUG
rnacentral:rRNA from 1 species